AGCAGCCGCGGUAAUUCCAGCUCCAAUAGCGUAUAUUAAAGUUGUUGCAGUUAAAAAGCUCGUAGUUGAACUUCGGGGUCUACCCAUCGGUCAGGCUUAAUUGUCUGUACUGGUGAGAUGGAUCUCUACCUUCUGAGGAACUUUCAUGCCAUUUAUUUGGUGUGAUUGAAAAUCAGGACUGUUACUUUGAAAAAUUAGAGUGUUUAAAGCAGACUAUCGUCUGAAUACAUUAGCAUGGAAUAAUGAAAUAGGACGGACUGAUUCUAUUUCGUUGGUUUCUAGGAUCACCGUAAUGAUUAAUAGGGAUAGUUGGGGGCAUUAGUAUUCAAUUGUCAGAGGUGAAAUUCUUGGAUUUAUUGAAGACUAACUACUGCGAAAGCAUUUGCCAAGGAUGUUUUCAUUAAUCAAGAACGAAAGUUAGGGGAUCGAAGACGAUCAGAUACCGUCGUAGUCUUAACCAUAAACUAUGCCGACUAGGGAUCGGACGAAGUUAAUUUUANAAUGACGCGUUCGG
rnacentral:rRNA from 1 species